AUGACCACGUUGACAUUAAAAAUGCGACCAUUUGUGAGCCAGCCAUAUUAUUCGUGGAUACAUCCUGUAAUUCCGACUUAUUUAGGACUACACAUAAAAGGUAACAAAUCAUAUCCUCUACGGAAUCUACUACACAAUUGCUUUGAUUAUUUCCCAACAAAUCCCGCAAACAUCUGUUAUGUACAGCACCGCGCAAAUAAUUGACGUUGGAAAACAAAUCGGCAACUUCAGUUGCCAAACACUUAUGUGGUUUUUGUUUGAAGCGAAACUGAGUCAGUUCCUAAACCCAACUGCUGUCAAAAUGUAUGAACUGACAGCGGUUGGGGUUAGAACCUUACUCAGUUUCAGGUUCAAUCGAAAUCGCCAUUAGAAACGAUCGAAGCAUUUCUCCGUCAAUGUCACUUUUUUGACUCAAAUUUUUGUAGGUGCUUUCUUCCGUCCAAUUGGUCAGUUUAUUUUAGUUUUCGAUUGAAGGAACUGGUGUAGUUUUAUGCACUGAAAUUGCACUUUUCUUGCAGAAGUGUUGUCAAAACACCGACACCAUGUUCCAUUGAUAGGAACUGCAAUAAAAAGCGCAAUUCCAGUGCAAUUUUGGGGCAGAGAUUUGGCACCGAAAAUUUUGUCGGUGCGAGCCAGUGCACUCACCAACACAGACCAACACCAAUCACGCAAACGUCAAAGCAACGCUCAAAAUGGAUGAGUAAACAAAUCGGUUAUCGCAGAAAACGAACCAAAAAAGGAAACCGACGAACAACAGACGAAACCUAGGACGAAAUCGUUGCCCGUUAUCACUAUCAACGGUAAGGAUUUCUAGGUUCUGAAAAAGCUCGGUUCCGGUAGCUCCAGUUCAGUGUUUUCGGCCAAACAAAUGGGGACGGGCGUUGAAUGUGCAUUGAAGUUGAUGAAUCUCGAAGGCGAUUCCAGCAUAGUGGAAGGCUACUUAAACGAAACGAAACUGUUAUGACUAUUGUCAUGUUCCGGAGUCUAACCAACUUUACCUGGUUAUGGAAAAGGGUAAUAGUGAUCUGCACAAAAUCGUGCAAAGCUACCGCAAGGAUAUCCCGCUGUACACGCUCAUGCAAAUUUGGUACCAGAUGAUACAGUGUGUGCACUACAUUCACAAGCACGGUAUCAUCUAUCUGGAUCUCAAACCGGCUAACUUGGUAAAAGGUUGCGUGAAGCUGAUUGAUAAGUAACUAUUUAUACAAAUGAAACUGUACAAAAUUAUGUUGUAGAACAAUCCAUC